GGCACUGCAUGGUAUCUGCAGCCAGCUGCUGAAACAGCUGAGCUGUUCAAAAGUCAGUGCUAGAGAAACUCGACAUCUGGCAUCGUUGGUCCCCUAACUGGUCUUGUGUUGGGAGUCCUGGUAUAUCUGUCGAAACAAUG